rnacentral:rRNA from 1 species
GUUGUAUAGUCAAGUAAUUAAGUGCAUGUGGUGGAUGCCUUGGCAGUCAGAGGCGAUGAAAGACGUAAUAGCCUGCGAUAAGCUCCGGGGAGGCGGCAAAUAUCCUGUGAUCCGGAGAUUUCUGAAUGGGGAAACCCACUUACCAUAAGGUAGGUAUCGCAACAUGAAUACAUAGUGUUGCGAGGCGAACGAGGGGAAGUGAAACAUCUCAGUACCCUUAGGAAAAGAAAUCAAUUGAGAUUCCCU